ACUUAAGCAUAUCAAUAAGCGGAGGAAAAGAAACCAACAGGGAUUGCCUCAGUAGCGGCGAGCGAAGCGGCAAGAGCUCAGAUUUGAAAUCUGGCGGCCCACAACGGGCUGUCCGAGUUGUAAUCUGUAGGGGAUGAUUCCAGUUGGCGCGCGCAGCCCAAGUCCCCUGGAAUGGGGCGCCAUAGAGGGUGAGAGCCCCGUAGGGUAGGGCGUGUCCGGCGAAGCGAAUCUCCUCCGACGAGUCGAGUAGUUUGGGAAUGCUGCUCCAAAUGGGAGGUAUAUUCCUUCUAAAGCUAAAUACCGGCCGGAGACCGAUAGCGCACAAGUAGAGUGAUCGAAAGGUGAAAAGCACUUUGGAAAGAGAGUGAAAUAGUACGUGAAAUUGUUGCAGGGGAAGCGCUCUUGACCAGUCGCGCGCCGUUGGGGAUCAGUCGACACGAAGCAAGUUUUUGCUUUCUAGCGGCCUUGUUCUUCCCGGUUAGCGGGCCAGCACCGGUUCUGGCGGCGGGAUAGGCACGCUGGGAAUGUGGCCCUGCCUUCUGGGCAGGGUGUUAUAGCCCAGCGGUUUUUACGUACCGCCCGCCGGGACCGAGGACACAUAAUCUGCGCCUAUCAAACGGCUAGGAUGUUGGCAUAAUGGUUAUCAGCGUCCCGUCUUGAAACACGGACCAAGGAGUCAAGCAUUGGUGCAAGUGUUAGGGUGUCAAACCCGAACGCGCAAUGAAAGUGAAGGAAAAUUUUUUUUUCUAGGUGGGAACCCUUUUGGGGGGGGCACCACCGACCGGGCCCAAAGCUUCUGCAGAGGGACCCGAGUAUGAGCACCACCGCUUGGACCCGAAAGAUUGCGAACUAUGCCUGUGUAGGGUGAAGCCAGAGGAAACUCUGGUGGAGGCUCGCAGCGGUUCUGACGUGCAAAUCGAUCGUCAAACAUGGGCAUGGGGGCGAAAGACUAAUCGAGCAAUCUAGUAGCUGGUUGCCGCCGAAGUUUCCCUCAGGAUAGCAGUGCUGGAGGUUCAGUUUUAUGAGGUAAAGCGAAUGAUUAGGGACUCGGGGGCGCUAUAUUGCCUUCAUCCAUUCUCAAACUUUAAAUAUGUAAGAAGCGCCCGUUUCUUUGCUUGAACGGGCGCCUUCCCGAAUGAACCAGCACUAGUGGGCCAUUUUUGGUAAGCAGAA
rnacentral:rRNA from 2 species